rnacentral:tRNA from 1 species
AAAGUAGAAGUUUUAUAAUAGUUGACCUGCAAUCAGAAGAAGAUAUCUUUAUCCUACUUUA